CCUACGGUGGGCAGCAGUGAGGAAUAUUGGACAAUGGGCGGGAGCCUGAACCAGCCAAGCCGCGUGAGGGAAGAAGGUACAGCGUAUCGUAAACCUCUUUGGUCAGGGAACAAAGGCGGGGACUAGUCCCCGGAUGAGGGUAGCUGAAGAAAAAGCAUCGGCUAAAUCCGGGCCAGCAGCCGCGGUAAUACGGAGGAUGCGAGCGUUAUCCGGUUUUAUGGGGUUAAAGGGGUGCGCAGGCGGCCUGUUAAGUCAGCGGUAAAAGCCCGGGGCUGAACCCCGGCGAGCCGUUGAAACUGGCGGGCUGGAGUGGGAGAGAAGUACGCGGAAUGCGCGGUGUAGCGGUGAAAUGCUUAGAUAUCGCGCAGAACCCCGAUUGCGAAGGCAGCGUACCGGCUCCACACUGACGCUGAGGCACGAAAGCGUGGGUAUCGAACAGGAUUAGAUACCCGGGUAGUC
rnacentral:rRNA from 1 species